rnacentral:rRNA from 1 species
UACGGAGGGGGCUAGCGUUGUUCGGAAUUACUGGGGGUAAAGGGUGCGCAGGCGGCCAUCCAAGUCGGGGGUGAAAGCCCGGAGCUCAACUCCGGAAUUGCCAUUGAAACUGUUUGGCUCGAGUACGAGAGAGGUGAGUGGAAUUCCCAGUGUAGAGGUGAAAUUCGUAGAUAUUGGGAAGAACACCGGUGGCGAAGGCGGCUCACUGGCUCGUAACUGACGCUCAUGCACGACAGCGUGGGGAUCAAACAGG